CCUACGGGAGGCUGCAGUGGGGAAUAUUGGACAAUGGGCGAAAGCCUGAUCCAGCCAUGCCGCGUGUGUGAAGAAGGCCUUCGGGUUGUAAAGCACUUUCAGUGGGGAAGAAAGCCUUGGGGCUAAUACCCUCGAGGAAGGACAUCACCCACAGAAGAAGCACCGGCUAACUCCGUGCCAGCAGCCGCGGUAAUACGGAGGGUGCGAGCGUUAAUCGGAAUUACUGGGCGUAAAGCGCGCGUAGGCGGUCUGAUAAGCCGGUUGUGAAAGCCCCGGGCUCAACCUGGGAACGGCAUCCGGAACUGUCAGGCUAGAGUGCAGGAGAGGAAGGUAGAAUUCCCUGUGUAGCGGUGAAAUGCGUAGAGAUCGGGAGGAAUACCAGUGGCGAAGGCGGCCUUCUGGACUGACACUGACGCUGAGGUGCGAAAGCGUGGGUAGCAAACAGGAUUAGAUACCCUGGUAGUC
rnacentral:rRNA from 1 species